AAUAAAAUACAUAAGAGUAAAAGACACACAAAAAGAGGUUUGAUUAAUAGCUUUAGCCAGUGUCACCCAAACAUUCUUACUGUCCCACGGUGUUAAACGAUGUGGAUCAAUCACCGGUGUCACUGUCAUGCUGCUUACUACAGUCAGUGUGUUCCAUAUCAAUCUCAGCAUAAGGUUUCAUAUUUAAGGGAAAAUCAGGA